CGUCACUUCUGGUCCGGUGCCCGACUUCCGGGACCUCCGUGAUGGAGCUCCGGCGGGCGGACUCCUCUCCAGCACACACGCCGCAGGUUGGAUUCUACAUGGACAAGUGGACGUGAAUGGCGGCAUGGGAUGUAGAUCACCAACUCUUGUUGCAGGCUCCACAUCUUUGUCCACCAAAGGCAUAUCUCCCAACCCUCAAAGGCUUCCUGCCAAGGAGUACAGUAGACUUUCAUGCCUACAAGUCUAAAGUGCACCCCUAUUACUUCUGUCUGAGUCCUACUCUUUUCCUUUCAUGGCCUAAAUAAAAAAAUCCAUUCACUAGUUAGUACUGUUCCGUUUCCUCCCCCACCAUUUUUCUGUUUUAUCUCUCAGUCUUUACCUUACUUAAUAUAUGUCUGCUUGAAUCUGGGGAUGAGGGGACAGAUCUACUCUCUCCUAAUAUUUAAUUCUCCUUAUUUAUAGAAUAGUCAGAUCUCUAACAACUUUAGAAAGCAGUCCAUUUAUAUGGCUAUAUAUUGCUGAUCCCAUAUUCAUAGUUAUGACUCACUUUAGAGCCCAGAAAUUCAGUUUUGAUACAGUAAUGAUUUAAGAUCUUUAGUGACUAUGAUCUAUAGACCACUGAUCUUUGAUGGUGACACUUAGCAUGUUUAUGGUCCUCUUGGGUAUCUUUGUGGUGUGCUUGUCUCUUGGAGAAGUGUUGAGAAGCUGUCUUUACCACUAGACUGCUGGUAUUAUGGUCAUAACAAUUUUUUGACGUCACAAACAGUUUACUACUAAUAGUACAGUAGAACAGAGGUAUGAGUGGCUUCAAAUGCACUGUUUUGUACCUCUUUCUGCCAACAUGUAAAGCAGUGGUUGGUGGGACAA